AGUGAACGCUGGCGGUAGGCCUAACACAUGCAAGUCGAACGGCAGCACAGUAAGAGCUUGCUUUUACGGGUGGCGAGUGGCGGACGGGUGAGGAAUACAUCGGAAUCUACUUUUUCGUGGGGGAUAACGUAGGGAAACUUACGCUAAUACCGCAUACGACCUACGGGUGAAAGCAGGGGAUCUUCGGACCUUGCGCGAUUGAAUGAGCCGGUGUCGGAUUAGCUAGUUGGCAAGGUAAAGGCCCACCAAGGCGACGAUGCGUAGCCGACCUGAGAGGAUGGUCGGCCACACUGGAACUGAGACACGGUCCAGACUCCUACGGGAGGCAGCAGUAGGGAAUCUUCGGCAAUGGGCGAAAGCCUGACGGAGCAAUGCCGCGUGAGUGAUGAAGGUCUUCGGAUCGUAAAACUCUGUUAUUAGGGAAGAAAAAAUGUGUAAGUAAAUAUGCACGGCUUGACGGUACCUAAUCAGAAAGCCACGGCUAACUACGGG
rnacentral:rRNA from 1 species